rnacentral:lncRNA from 1 species
AACCUAUUUCUGCUUUUCUGAAAUUCCAGGACAAUCAAGAAAUGAAAAACCUGUCUUGGUGACAAUUUUGAAAAUCUCUUCACCCUCUUGGUGUCAUUAAGAAAAAUUUUGCCUAUUGAAUAUUGCCUGGAACAUGGUAUGGAAUAUUGCCCAGAACUAACUUCAGUAUGCAUUAGAGUCACCUGCCAGACUUGUUAAAACUUUGAUUGCUGCUCUGUGCUACUUUCUGGAGUUUACAAUUCAAUAGGAGUCAGGUGGGGCUCAAGAAUUUGCAUUUCUAAUAAUUCCCAGAGGAUGCUGGUAUGCCUGGUUCACAGAUCACCGCUUUAGAACCACUGAUCUGGAACUAUAAGGAAAAGCUACUGAGUAUGCUGCAUCUUGGAGCACCCAUAUUGCCAUCUGCUGCCCCACGACCCCUAAGUCAUAUGUGCGACUUCUGUCGACGUCUACAUUGUUACAGGCAAAAAUCACGAGGAGCAUAUGGUUUUCAUUCUACCAAGACUUUCAUUUCAUGCUGUUACCAGAAGGGUUAGAAAUCCUGAUUGGAUGGGAAGGAGAUUAGCUUUUCCCCUAGUGGAAUAAUUUCAUUAUAACAGAGGGGUCACCUCCCUAAGCUAAAUGUGAAAAGAAUAAUAGAAAGAGUACAGAUCAUGGGAAAAAAAAAACUAGAAAGGCUUUGUAAUAAAUUUUGAUAUGACUUCAGAGAGUACAUCUUCACUUCAUGUAUUUGAAUAAACCCUUUAAAAUUUGGAUAACUAGAUUGUUCUAUUUCAAUUCCCACUUUUCUCAUUUACAUCACUUUUAUACAUCAAGCACCUUCCACUAUCUGGCUGAUGUGUAGAAUAAGAAGCAUUUUCAGGGCGCUGACUCUUCUGGUCUAUCCAAGUUCACUGAAAGGACCUAUUUAACCCCUAAAACAUCAAACACCAUUAAUACAGUGUAACCAAAAGAGCUAAACUCUACCCUGACUAAAGAACUUUAAAAGAAAUAUCAAGUCAUCAGGUAUCUAUCUCAAUGACUUGUUUCUUAUCGACAUCAGAAACAUCCAUGUA